GCCGGGUUGGAUCAGUGGGUAGAACAUGCGCACAUAGACUAAGAGGUUUAUGCCUUGACGCAGAGGUCCAGGGUUCGAAUCCGACCUGGUA
rnacentral:tRNA from 1 species